rnacentral:rRNA from 1 species
UAACGCGUGAGGAACCUGCCUCAAAGAGGGAGACAACAGUCGGAAACGACUGCUAAUACCGCAUAAGCCCACAGCUCGGCAUCGAGCAGAGGGAAAAGGAGUGAUCCGCUUUGAGAUGGCCUCGCGUCCGAUUAGCUAGUUGGUGAGGUAAUGGCCCACCAAGGCGACGAUCGGUAGCCGGACUGAGAGGUUGAACGGCCACAUUGGGACUGAGACACGGCCCAG